CAGAAUGUUCCAGUUGGUCUCAUCCAUGCUGUUCAGUAAAAAAGUCUGAAUCAAAGGCUUCUCUUUCAUUUUAGGUUCUGCAGUCAAGAAGUAAAAUUCAAGCCAAACCUCAAGAUUAAAGAAAAUGAAACAGCUCUCUGAAGCCACACUGUACAGCUCAGAGACCUCUCUGCAGUAGCCAAGUCUGAUUCAAAGGACCCACAUGGGCUCAGAACACUGUGAAACUUCACUCCCAUUGAAUCAGCAAUGUCUUCUACAGUAUCCUGGAACCAUUUUACACUUGCGUGCUGAGAUCAUGUACAACGGCCAAGUCUGACUCAAAGGAUCCACAUGGGACUCAGAACACUGUGAAUCUUCACUCCCAUGGAAUCAGCAAUAUCUUCUACAGUAUCCUGGAACCAUUUGUGCACUUGCGUGCUGAGAUAAUGUACACGGGCCAAGUCUGACUCAAAGGAUCCACAUGGGCUCAGAACACUGUGAAACUUCACUCCCAUGGAAUCAGCAAUAUCUUCUACAGUAUCCUGGAACCAGUUGUUCACUUGCAUGCUGAGAUAAUGUACACGGGCCAAGUCUGACUCAAAGGAUCCACAUGGGCUCAGAACACUGUGAAACUUCACUCCCAUGGAAUCAGCAAUAUCUUCUACAGUAUCCUGGAACCAUUUGUGCACUUGCGUGCUAAGAUAAUGUACAAGGGUUCUGCAGUCAAGGAGUAUAAUUCAAGCCGAACCUCAAGAUUAAAGGAAAAUUAAACAGCCCUCUGAAGGCACACUGUACAGCUCAGAGACCUCUCUGCAGUAGUACGUGGUAAAGUCCUCAUGGCCUUUUGGCAGGCAGCUGGGUAGGAGCUCCUGAGAGGAUGAACACCCCUCCAGGUGCUGGAUCUCAAAGUUGCCUGCUUUCCUGUCAUGGCUCUGCUCUCUCAGAUCUCCAUGC